CCUACGGGAGGCAGCAGUGGGGGAUAUUGCACAAUGGGGGAAACCCUGAUGCAGCGACGCCGCGUGGGUGAAGAAGCGCCUCGGCGCGUAAAGCCCUGUCAGCAGGGAAGAAAAUGACGGUACCUGAAGAAGAAGCCCCGGCUAACUACGUGCCAGCAGCCGCGGUAAUACGUAGGGGGCAAGCGUUAUCCGGAUUUACUGGGUGUAAAGGGGGCGCAGACGGCGAUGCAAGCCAGGAGUGAAAGCCCGGGGCCCAACCCCGGGACUGCUGUUGGAACUGCGUGGCUAGAGUGCAGGAGGGGCAGGCGGAAUGCCCGGUGUAGCGGUGAAAUGCGUAGAUAUCAGGAGGAACACCGGUGGCGAAGGCGGCCUGCUGGACUGCAACUGACGUUGAGGCCCGAAAGCGUGGGGAGCAAACAGGAUUAGAUACCCGGGUAGUC
rnacentral:rRNA from 1 species